rnacentral:rRNA from 1 species
CUUGCACUUGAAAGAUUUAACAUUGAGACGAGUGGCGAACUGGUGAGUAACACGUGGGUAACCUGCCCUUGAAGUAGGGGAUAACACUUGGAAACAGGUGCUAAUACCGUAUAACAACCAAAACCACCUGGUUUUGGUUUAAAAGACGGCUUCGGCUGUCACUUUAGGAUGGACCCGCGGCGUAUUAGCUUGUUGGUAAGGUAACGGCUUACCAAGGCGAUGAUACGUAGCCGACCUGAGAGGGUAAUCGGCCACAUUGGGACUGAGACACGGCCCAAACUCCUACGGGAGGCAGCAGUAGGGAAUCUUCCACAAUGGACGAAAGUCUGAUGGAGCAACGCCGCGUGAGUGAUGAAGGGUUUCGGCUCGUAAAACUCUGUUGUUGGAGAAGAACAGGUGUCAGAGUAACUGUUGACAUCUUGACGGUAUCCAACCAGAAAGCCACGGCUAACUACGUGCCAGCAGCCGCGGUAAUACGUAGGUGGCAAGCGUUGUCCGGAUUUAUUGGGCGUAAAGCGAGCGCAGGCGGUUUUUUAGGUCUGAUGUGAAAGCCUUCGGCUUAACCGGAGAAGUGCAUCGGAAACCGGGAGACUUGAGUGCAGAAGAGGACAGUGGAACUCCAUGUGUAGCGGUGAAAUGCGUAGAUAUAUGGAAGAACACCAGUGGCGAAGGCGGCUGUCUGGUCUGUAACUGACGCUGAG